AAUAAAAAUAUAAUAAAAAAUUAAACAAUGAGUGAGAUAUGGGAUAAAUAGUAAGCGAGUAAGAGAUAUAAUUCCAAGAGAGGCUCGAUGCGGCAAAUGCGGCGAAUGCGCUGAAUGCAUUGAAUGCGACGACGGUAACGUCAUGCGCUCUGAAAACAACCGCAACCCCCUGUUAGAAAUCGAGGAAGAACGGUAGGGAUAACGUGGCGUGAUGCACAGGCUACAAUGCGCAAUCGGUACACGAGCGCGCACGCGCGCAUUAUAGUCUCGAAGAUGCCCGUAGCGAAACAGACGCAAAGGCACGCACGCUCGUAGCUCGUAGCUGCUGUAAAGGAGGGAGUCGCAGUAUAUCGAAGUUGUGCAGUGUUGCUUACCACGUAGGAGGCAUAACACUCGCCGUCUCUACAAUAAGAUCCUAAUAUUUUCACAAAUUUUUUUGUUCUACGUUUCGGUGUUUUUAUUUUUUUGACAUUUUUCUCUUUUUAUUAUUCUUCAAGAAAUGUGUCAUCUAUAUCUUCAUAAAUUGUUACGCAAGAUCAAUCGUUAAGAAAAUGGUAUUUUGAUAGACACAUCGUAAAAGGCAAGUACGAUUUGAAACAACAAUUAAAACGAAGGAUCACAAAGAUAAUUAUUCGCAUCGAAUAUUUUUAUGAAAAAUAUUUAUACUUAUAUUGCGAAUAGCAAUGAGAAUUGAUUUGAAAUUGUCAUAUAUUUCAUAACUACAAAUCGGAUAAAUAAUUAAAUCGAUAUCAAAUCAAGAUUUGAAUUUUAAGAGUGAUAAAAAGUUGGAAUUGGAAUUCUAAACAGAAAUAAAAAAAAAAAAGAGAAAAAAUGGAACCAGAAUUUAAAAUAACACUAUUAUAAGAACUAAGAUUAAGAUUGCUAAAUUUCCUUCUAUAAAAUUAUAUCUGUUGGAUUUUCAAAGUUACCAGUUGGACCAGAGAAUAAUCUAUAAAUGGAUUUUUAGUGACAUUGUUAAUAUCCAAUUUGGGGUUAAUAAUUAUUGUGCCCUAUCUCUCUCACACCAGCAAUUGUACCACAUAUCGAUACUCAUAUCGACCAUCGUUCGUUUUUAGAUUGUCUCGUCGAACUGAAUCGCUCAAUGUUCCAUUCUAUUCAGUUCAGUGAUAUAAUAAUGCUUUUCAACAUAUAUCAAUAAUUCCAUCUUUUUAAUAUUUAAGUUUUAUCAAUUGUGUGAGAAAACUUUUCUUUCUGAAAAUAAACUUUUGAUCGCCGAACAAUUAAGAUUAGAAUUAGAAUCAGGAAAUGAUUCACGAAUUUUAUUGAUUUGUUAACAAAUAUGAAUAUAGAAUUUAUGAAAUGAUAUUUAACAUUUGUCUUCGAAUUCGAAAAAAUAAGCGAAAUCGGAUUCGAAUUGAAUCGAAACUUAUUUGAUUAAAUCAUUUUCAAUUAAACCUUUCAUCUUCGCGUCUUUUUGCAAUUUUUAUUCUCUUCAAAAAAUUUCCGUUUACAUCGUAUGUAUACGUGUGUAUGCGUAUACAAAUUUAUUGAAGAUAUAAAGAAAUGUCUCGUUUAAUGUUAUGUAACCUUGGCAAUGCAUCCACGGCAGGAAAUGAUACGAAUAACAAUGCGAAUACAAA